GCCUCUUGAAAUGACAAACUCACGGACUGAGGGACCGGACUCUAAGGAGCACAGGAAGUUGCGGUGGGCUGGAGGCAUGUACUCUCUCAUUUCCUGGAGGAAUUCUGCAGGAGAGCCUACAGCAAGAUGAAGACAGAAGGACGUCGAGGCACUGGAAGAUGCUGCUCUGGCCUGCACUGCCCCCUGAAAACUUUUUCGGGGUAUCCCAGACCCCCUCAUACAGCAGACCCUCGGCCAGCUUGGGGUUGCCUUUCCAACUAGGCCAAAAAAGAAGAAAUACAAUUUGAAUUAAUUGUCAGAUAGAAAAAUCUUAUGCUAGAGGUAACUCUUCCAUACACCCUCUGUCACUCAUUUUCAUGCAUGAAAAUAGUAAAUCACAUAGUUCGGAGACAGCU